GACGAACGCUGGCGGCGUGCUUAACACAUGCAAGUCGAACGGAAAGGCCCUGCUUUUGUUGGUUGCUCGAGUGGCGAACGGGUGAGUAACACGUGAGUAACCUGCCCUUGACUUUGGGAUAACUUCAGGAAACUGGGGCUAUUACCGGAUAUGAGCUCCUGCUGCAUGUUGUGGGUUGGAAAGAUUCGGCGGUUCGGGAUCGUCUCGCUGCUUAUCAGCUUGUUGGUGUGGUAGUUGCUUACCAAGCCUUUGACGGGUAGCCGGCCUGAGAGGGUUACCGGCCACAUUGGGACUGAGAUACGGCCCAGACUCGUACGGGAGGCAGCAGUGGGGAAUAUUGCAGAAUGGGCGGAAGCCUGAUGCAGCAACGCCGCGUGCGGAAUAACGGCCUUCGGGUUGUAAACCGCUUUCGCCUGUGACGAAGAGUGAGUGACGGUAAUGGGUAAAGAAGCACCGGCUAACUACGUG
rnacentral:rRNA from 1 species